CGAACGGACGAGAAGCUUGCUUCUCUGAUGUUAGCGGCGGACGGGUGAGUAACACGUGGAUAACCUACCUAUAAGACUGGGAUAACUUCGGGAAACCGGAGCUAAUACCGGAUAAUAUUUUGAACCGCAUGGUUCAAAAGUGAAAGACGGUCUUGCUGUCACUUAUAGAUGGAUCCGCGCUGCAUUAGCUAGUUGGUAAGGUAACGGCUUACCAAGGCAACGAUGCAUAGCCGACCUGAGAGGGUGAUCGGCCACACUGGAACUGAGACACGGUCCAGACUCCUACGGGAGGCAGCAGUAGGGAAUCUUCCGCAAUGGGCGAAAGCCUGACGGAGCAACGCCGCGUGAGUGAUGAAGGUCUUCGGAUCGUAAAACUCUGUUAUUAGGGAAGAACAUAUGUGUAAGUAACUGUGCACAUCUUGACGGUACCUAAUCAGAAAGCCACGGCUAACUACGUGCCAGCAGCCGCGGUAAUACGUAGGUGGCAAGCGUUAUCCGGAAUUAUUGGGCGUAAAGCGCGCGUAGGCGGUUUUUUAAGUCUGAUGUGAAAGCCCACGGCUCAACCGUGGAGGGUCAUUGGAAACUGGAAAACUUGAGUGCAGAAGAGGAAAGUGGAAUUCCUGGUGUAGCGGUGAAAUGCGCAGAUAUCAGGAGGAACACCGAUGGCGAAGGCAGGUUACUGGGCAGUUACUGACGCUGAGGAG
rnacentral:rRNA from 1 species